CUCUAUCCCUCGCCCGGGGCCGCCCUCCCUGCCGCUCCCUUAGGGGCUCUGCGACACCCGCCUCCGGGGGCGCCCCGCCCCCCGCCGCGCGUGCCUGGUUACGACAUGGCGCUAACGGCCCCUCCGGCCCGCCGAGCUCUGUUUUCUGCGGCGGCUUCGCUACUGCUGCUGGGGGCGGCGGCAGGAAGCUCUCAUUUCUUGGAUAAGACUCAACUCACAAAGAAAGGAGAUGCACACUUGAAACAAGAAGGUAUAAUUAGAAUGCACAACUCAGUGGCUCUCUCUGAACCCAUGAAAAUAACAUCUAUCCCAGAUGUUCCACAAACACCUCAUCAAAUACUUGGAAAAGAAAACUCCACUGACUCAGAAGGACUUGUUUUAACAGAAGGUUAUCUGGAGAUCUAUAAUAUUCACGCAAGUGACACUGGAAGUUAUACCUGUAAAGUUACCUAUGUACAUAAUGACAAACAUAUGAUGACAGAAGUGCGUUUUAUGAUCUAUGAUCCCUGUGAAAGUUCCGACUGUGAAAAUUCCUUCAACUGUAUCAAAAAGGUGGAAUUAUUCAUUAGCAAUAUGAAAAUAUAUUUUUAGAAAUUUGAUCCAUGUUUACAUUUCUGUCCUCGUGUCAUUGUAUUAAAAGCCUGUAUAGUUAAGGAACUUUGCAUGCAAGAAUAAAUGUGAUAGAAAACCGUAUUGUCA
rnacentral:lncRNA from 1 species